AUGUAUUACAAUUUAUUAAUCUAUUGAUUCAUUAUCCAACUACGGUCGAUCCAAUGAUUCAGUGAUUCAAAGUGUAAUCCGAUUUCGUGUCCGAAUCGGGUUUAAAAACAUUACAGGAAAGAAAACGAGAAAAUCACAUUGAUAUAUUAUUAUGUCAAAUAAAUAAAUAUAUAUAUAUAUAUAUUUAACAAUAUUAAGUAUAGUGAUAAAAGUAUAAUUUCAUUUGUAUUCUUAUUUCUAAAAUGAUUUUUUUGUUUAUAAGAUCACUGUAAUUUAGGUUAAAGUCGUUAAUAUAUUUAAUCAAAAGAUAUAUAAGAAAUUAAUUUUGAAGUUGUAAAUAAAUGGCUUAUUUCAACUUUAAGAUAAGUUACAAAUACGGAAUUUUAACUGGUAUUGUUUACAACUGCAGUAUGAAUUUGGUAGGCUAGUAAGAAAUAGCUUUCCACUGAGUUUGUGCUUUGUUUAAAAUAAAUACUAGAGUCGAUCAUACAUCUAUCCUAUACUAAAAGGAAGAUAUCAUGAGUCCUAAAGUUAUCCACGUAGGAUUAAAUAAUGCAUCAAUCAGCACAUUUCAUUUAUUUACAUCAGACAUGUUGGGCUUUCGGUUUGGGCUUCGUUUGUUUUUUGCCAAAUUACACACCAAAAUGAGUGGGCCUGAGCUUGGGGUUCAUUUGCUGUUUGCCCUAAACUUAACAACGCAUGGUUCUUCUUCUGAGAAGACGAGAUAUGGUUGAGACUAGACGUAACUCUUCAGCUUCCAAGAGUUUCCCUGCUUCUUCUUCAUCCCCUGAAUUGUCUUCUCAUCUCCACUCCCUACCAAGCGAUCUAAGGUCAAGAUCCAUGCUGCUAUUAAAUCUGUAUGUUAGAUCCGAGUUUCGUUGCGGUCCGAGCCAUGUCAGAGUCUCAGACAGCUCUAAAGAAUCAGCCACAGUCAUGGGUCUCCUCUGGAAAGAAGCAAGCUUUGAUAUCUUUAUCUGAUAAGAAGGAUUUAGCUACUUUUGGCAAAGGUCUUCAAGAGUUAGGGUAUGUCUUAUUUCAUAAUUUUUAGUUAUGUUUCUGUCCUAAUAAGUGUGUAUGGAUUGAAAAAUGAUUCCUUUUGUCCAUCUUUAGAUACACUAUGGAGGAACUGCCUCUACCUUGGAGAAUGUUGUAGUCUCUGUCACCAAAGUGGAGACGCUUACUCAUUUUUCUGAAAUUGAAAGUUUCAUUCUUUAGCUGGUGGUAAUGAUUAAGCAGUUGAGUUUGGUAUAUUAAGCUUACCUCUCAUUUUGUUUUUUUUUUCUUCUCGAAAAAGCAGCUUGAUGGCCGUGUGAAGACUUUGCACCCAAACAUACACGGUGGUAUCCUUGCUAGAAGAGAUGUGGAGCAUCAUAUGGAAGCUCUUAAUGAGCAUGGCAUUGGUGAGUUUGGACAUUUGAUUAGCCUUUUAUUUUCUAAGGUUGAGACAAGUUAUCUGUAGUAUUCAGGUGGGAUCAGUUUUUAGGAUGGGAUUGAGAACAUCGACAUUGGUGGUCCUACUAUGAUUAGAGCAGCUGCUAAGAACCACAAAGAUGUCCUCAUCGUUGUCGAUUCAGAGGAUUAUUAAGCUGUUUUGGAGUAUCUCAAAAGAGGUCAGAACGACCAACAAUUCCGCAGGAAACUUGCGUGGAAGGCCUUUCAGCACAUUGCUGCUUACGAUUCCGCUGUCUCAGAAUGGCUAUGGAAGCAGACUGAGGGAAGUACGUGCUUAUUUUUUAUGUGAUCCUCCUUACACUAGAUCGAGAUGCAGUGGCGGAUCUAGAAAAUAUUAUGAGAGGGGGCGAAUAAAUUAAUUAAUUAAUAUAUUUAUAUUUAAUAUUAUUGUAUAAAUAUUUUUUUAUUUAUAUAUUAUAUAUAUCUAUAUUUAAAAAAAUUUGCAAUGGCUAGAAUAAUUGUUUUGAAAAGGACUAUAAGAUGAAUUCACAAACAAAAAAAAAUGAAAUAAAAAAUAGUAGAAUAAAUUGUUAAGGAAACAAAAUAAUUAAAGGAAAUAUAACGUAACUAUGUGAGGAACAAAAUGGUAUGACAGGUAAACGAGAAAGAAAUAAAAUCAGAAAAGGAAAGUGAUCAUAUAAUUAAAAACCACUUAAAGAGGCAGAUGGAGAUUCGAACAGAAGACCAGUGGGGGCAAAAUGAAGUAUUUUACCACCUGAGCUGAAGAAUCUUUAAUAACUACCAUGUACAUAAACUAAAGUGUAGUUGUUUGUGGGGGGCAGCUGCCUCCUCCUUGGACACUGUAGAUCCGCCCAUGUCGAGAUGUAUUGGUGUCGUUUCGUCUUUGUUUCUUAUCCCCUGUACCGCUACGAGGUUAAUUGAUUCACUGUCAUUAAUGCCUUUCUUAACUCUUUUGAUUCAGUGCAACCACGAUUUCUCCUUCAAUACUUCUUCCCUCUUCCCUCUGUUCAAGGUGGUGCAUCUACAACCAUAAAAAGGUUAGUCUACUUAAAAAAGUUUUUUUUCCAAUAAAAUGGCGAACUCACGCUCCAAGCUGCCAUCACAGUCAAGAUCAUCUUGGAAUGGGUCUGAUUACAGAGGAACUCAAGCGGACAUAAAUAAGCGUUAACGAGAUUGAAGGGAGCAGUGGCCAUGUUGUCGAUGGUGAUCAGCAUGUCAAUACUACGUAGAUGGUUCAGACGGCGGCUACAGCGGCUUUGGGAGUCAGAAACCGCGUGAAGUACAGGCUCGCACUGGUUCCACUCUAUCAGUCUCCCUUCUUCCUCUGUGCCACUCUCCACCUUCCAGUGAAAUCAACAACCUGAUAUCUGUUUUGAUAAUAGUUCAAAAACUUUUUAUAUUUGUUGUGAUUAUUUUCCUUUUGAUUUGGUUGUUCUGUUUUUUUUUUGUUUCCUUAUUGUUUCUACCUAAGCUUUAUGUGUUAGUACCGGAUAAAGAGCAUCCCAAUAACAAAUUUGUUGCUUCUCUUUGGGUGGCAUUCUGGGAUCUCUCGCAUUUAUUAUAUGGUUUUGAUGAUUUAUAUAUUGAAUUGCUUAUUUUGGAAAAAAAAACUUUGUCGGUAGAAUACUUUUGUCCACUCAGACGCAAAAAACUCACUUCUCUGAUUUUUUUUUUCCGUUAAAUGGUGAUCUUUUGAUCUUUUCGGUGGGUGAAGAAUCUCUUAUAUACUAAAGCGCAAGUCGCCUGACGAAUCAAGUCUUGACACAUGUGCAUAUAUUUUUUUUAAAAAAAUAUCAAUUAAAAAGUCUUCUUUCGAUCACAUUUUUUAGCAACGGUAAAAGUUUAAAGCCAUAAAUUUCUCAUAUCACUAGCAACACGUUCAGAUUUUUUUUAAAAAAAAUCAUGUCAACUAUAACUUCCAAAUUCCAAUCAUGUAACGUGUUCUGAUAGUUACUAUCUCUUAUAUAGCUUCCAAGCAAUUUUCAUUUUGUCUCUGAAAAUUCCAUUAAAAUGAUAGAGAAACACUACAGAGGUUCAUCCUCAUACAGAGGGGUAUGAAAAAAACAGAGGGGCCAAAAGGCAUACCUCAACACAACAAUAACCCCCGACCAAAAAUAACCAAUAGAACAGUGCAAACAAAGAGUUCAAAGUAUAAAUUUCGACGAUUGUCUCCUCUUUGUAUCUCCUUGGAACCCAGUAACCUCUUUCAAAAUCCCUGAGAUUUCGACGCUACCGGUAUGGGUCACUCUUAAGAACAUCCCAGAUUCAUGCUUCUCUAGGUUAGGCAUUAGCCACAUAGCAUCGGGUUUGGGGGAACCGAUGUUAACACACAAGCCACGCUUAGAUCCUACACUUAUGGGAGAAGCAAAAAUUUUAGUGGAAGUUGAGUUAGAUAAACCAUUCCCAAAGCUAAUUGCUCUUGAUGACAAGCAAGGCAAUAUUUUUUUAGUAGAGGUUGAAUACUCUUGGAUUCCUACCGCUUGUGAUAGAUGUGGAGCACUAGGCCAUAAGGAGAAAAGGUGCCUACAGCCUCCUAAUCCUCGUGAUGCUGCUCCUGUUACUAAGGAACCUCUUGACAGUAAUGAAGAGAUUCCAGUGGUUGAUAUAGUUACUUUGGUACAGAAUUCAGCCAAUACACUUGUGGACCAUUUGAACCGUAAGUCAUGCUCCCCAUCUGCUCACCAAGCGCAUGAGACUUUAGGAGAGUCUUCGAUUGCAACACCUUCCGAGGUGGCUAUUGCCACUCCAUUCACCAAAUCGCAUGAGGUACAUUCUACUUCUUGCUCAGAGAUUGAUGUCACUAUCCCUACAUUAGCAGCAGCAAGUGUUGCUCUCUCUUAUUCACCUAUUAUGGAAGUCAUUCCAUCACAAUCUAUCAUUUCAGAGGACCCUGAAUCUUUUGUAAAUGAUCAACAAAUUGUCCACACAGCUCAACCCACCCACAUUCCACAACAGUUCUAUAGGGAAUCGGAGACCCCGAUAACUUAUGGGAAAGGAUCUGGUUUUGAGGUGGUUGGAGCAUCUUCUAGUUAUAAUACAACUAGAGGUGGGAGGGCAAUUAAACCAACACAAAAACUGCAAGAAAUGGAAUGGACGAACGUCGGUGGAAGAGGUAAAAAAGGUCGUCGUGGCUAGAGAUGUCAAAUGGGCCUCAUGUCCAUGGGCGAACCAUGUCCAAACCCAUUUGGACUAACCAAAUUAGACCCAUAAAUAAAGCUGUCCAAUUGGGUCGAUGUCCAAUAAAUUCCGAAUUUGAUGGGCUUAACCAUCUGGACAUGGGCGGCCCAAUGAUCUAAAAAAACUAGGGUUUUCAUUUGGGGAAAAAUUCAGAUCGCGAUUCUCUCUCUCUCAAACUGUCUCUCUCUCUCAGUCUCGAUUCUCUCUCUCUCGAUUCAGAGAACUCGGCGACGAUCCGCCUCUCUUGGCUCUCGAUCCGCCUCUCCCGACUCUCGAUUCGCCUCUCCCGACUCUCUAUCUGCCUCUCCCAGUCUCCCGACUCUCGAUCCGUCAACUUCUGAAAAGGGUUUGCGUUUAGGGUUCUUCGUUUCGCUUCAGGUAUGUUCUCCUCACUCACUUUUGCUUGUUUACAUAUCUUUUUUGUUACGAUUUUGAUGGGUUUGCGAUUCCAGGGCCUCUCGGCUCUCUCAGUCUCCUAGAUCGAAGAAGCUCUCUCGUCCCGCCUCUCACUCGCGUCUGAGAGGGUUUGUUUGCUUCUUUAGCGUUUCUAGUUCAUGGGUUUGUUCAUGGUUUGUUUCUAGUUCACGCUUAAUGUGUUUGUUUGCUUCUAGUUCAUGGGUUUGUUCAUGGCUUGUUUCUAGUUCACGCUUGAUGGGUUUGUUUGCUUCUUUAGCGAGAUGGGUUUGUUUGCUUCUAGUUCAUGGCUUGUUCACUUGUUUAGCGAGAUGGGUUUGUUCACUUGUUUAGCGUUUCUGGUUCAUGAAUCAUGGCUCGUUUCUAGUAAACUUUAGAUGGGUUUGUUUGCUUCUAGUUCAUGGGUUUGUUCAUGGCUUGUUCACUUGUUUAGCGAGAUGGGUUUGUUCACUUGUUUAGCGUUUCUGGUUCAUGAAUCAUGGCUCGUUUCUAGUAAACUUUAGAUGGGUUUGUUUGCUUCUAGUUCAUGGGUUUGUUCACAAGGAUGAUGAAGCUGUAUGGAGAUUACAAGAAGAAUACUAGUGCGCAUAGUUCACAAGAAGUAGAAGCAAAUGCUUUACCAUCUGGUUAUGGGGGCUUCUAUGAGUUCUUCUCUCAACAAGCAGGAACAAGGAAAUCUGCUUUAGAUUUGUAUCUGAGUGAACCUGUGCUCGAUAUGGUUGCAAAUCAAAAGUUAGAUGUCAUCAAGUACUGGAGGGACAAUGCAAACAGGUUUAAGGAGCUGUCUCGAAUGGCAUGUGAUGUCCUAUGCAUCCCAAUAACAACAGUGUCGUCUGAGUCAUCCUUCAGUGUGGGAAGUCGGGUUCUUAGCAAGUACAGGAGCCGCCUUCUUCCAUCAAAUGUCCAAGCUUUGAUUUGUGCUAGAAACUGGCUUCGUGGUUUUGAAGUGAUUGCUGGAUGCGAUUUAGAUGAGGAAGUUCAGGAAGAUGCCAAUGAGGAAGCAGAAGGAAAUGGAAAGAAGAAGAAGACUCGACACAAUUAAAGGUUAAUCUCUAAUGAUGGAGUGAGAGGAAAGACUGAAGUUUAAUUAUGUGUGUAUGAACCUAAUCUAAUGUAUGUAUGAAUCUAAUCUAUGCUUUGGAGUUUGAAUAAUGUAUGAACCUAAUCUAUGCUUUGGAGUUUGAAUAAUGUAUGAACCUAAUCUAUGUAUGUAUGAAGCUUAUUUAGGCCAUUGGAUGAUGUAUGAACUUUAUCUAUAUUUUUAAACUCCAUGAAAUGUAGUGAAAUUAUGUUGCAUA